GUUUGACCGGUUGAGAUAACUCGUACUGUUGAGUCCGAAUCAGUGCACUUAUGGAGUGCUGUCCGUCAAGCUACCGAGGCUUGUUGUGAGCAAAUAAGAGGAAUCGAGGUUGAUCUUGCUAAAAAAAAAAGGAGAGAGAAGAAGAAAAGCAACGCAAGAAAUGCCUGAACCGAAAAGAAAAAGAAAAGAAUAAGCGAUCAAACGGUCAAGUAGGAUGAUGAUUGCCAAGGGGCACUGAAAAAAAAAAAAAAGAUAAGUUGCAGGAACCUCUGAUUCUGAUGCUUCCCAUGGGGAUGAUUGUUAGUCUGGUACUCGACAGCCCUCGAGGGGUCUAUAAGGUGUAUUGGGUCAGCACGACGAGUC
rnacentral:lncRNA from 1 species